CAGGAGAAUCGCUUGCACCCAGGAACCCAGGAGGCGAAGGUUGCGGUGAGCCGAGAUUGCGCUACUGCACUCCAGCCUGGGUGACAGAGCAAGACUCCAUCUCAAAAAAAUAAAAUAAAAUAAUAAAAAAGAAAGUACAGUUCCAGAGUGAUCUCAUGUUACAAAGACUGCUUGCAAUGGGCUCAGCUAUGAGGUGGAGUUUGAUAAACAGAUGCUAUGCUAUCACUUUGGAUCAUCCCAGGGUAACAACACAUUGAUAUCUGGUAUCAGAAUCUAGAAUCAAAUAAAGAGCAAUGAAGCUGUUUAGAAAAUAAGGAAACAGGAAGCAAAAAUAAAAAAAAAUUUUAAAGUAGCUUUUUUUUUUUUUUUUUUUUUUUUUGAGAUGGAGUCUCGCUUUGUCACCAGGCUGGAUGGAGUGCAGUGAUGCGAUCUCGGCUCACUGCAACCUCCUGCCUCAGCCUCCCGAGUAGCUGGGAUUACAGGCACCACCACACCUGGCUUCAGUAAGAUUUUAUAACAAUGUAUUUCAGCUCUUUCGGACCUUCAGUUCAACAUUUUCCGUGCCAUUAUCAUUGUAUUUUUCAAAUUUCAUUUUGUACUUGUUAGUGGUAUAUAUAGGAUUACAACUGGUCCAUAUAUUGAUUUUACAAAAUUGUUAAAUUAUUAAUUUCAUAAUUUAUCUGUAAAUCUUCUGGAUUUUCAAUGUACACAUUAGAUCAUCUGUAAGUAAUGCAAUAUUUUAUAAUUCUUACAUAUUUUGUUGCUUUUUCUUGUUUAACUGCAUUUGCUAGAUCUUCUGUACAAUGUCAAAUAGACAGUGAUAGUGAAUAUCCUUGUCUUAUUACUGAUUUCAGAGAGAAAGCUUACAACAUUUUACCAUAAAUAUGAUAUUUACUAUAAAUAUUUUGUAUAUACUCUUAUCAGAUUAAAGAAGUUUCCUCCUGUUCCUAGUUUUCUUUUCUUUUUUUUCUUUUUUUUUUUUUGAGACGGAGUCUGGCUCUGUCCCCCAGGCUGGAGUGCAAUGGCGUGAUCUUGGUUCAUUGCAACCUACACCUCCCGGGUUCAAACGACUCUCCCACCUCAGCCUCCCAAGUAGCUGGGGUUACAGGAACCCACUACCAAGCCUGGCUAAUUUUUGUAUUUUUGUAGAGAUGGGGUUUCACCAUGUUGGCCAGGCUGGUCUUGAACCCCUGACGUCAAGUGAUGCGCCCACCUCGGCCUCCCAAAGUGCUGGGAUUACAGGUGUAAGCCACCACACCUGGCCCUGUUCCUAGUUUUCUUGGAAUUUUAAUCAUGAAUGGACAUUGAAUUUUAUCAGAUGCAUUUUUGUCUUUAUUGAAAUGAUCCCAUCAUUUUUCUUCUUAAAUUGCUAGUGUGGUAAAUUACAUUAAUUUUUCAAUGUUAAGCCAGCCUUGAAAUCCCAGAUAAAUCCAGUUUAUAUUAUUAUUUUUCUACGGUGAUUUGGUUUGCUGAUUUGUUUUUCUGUUUUUUCAUCUAAGCUCACGAAUGAGACUGGCCUGCAUUUUCCUUUCUCUUAUUGUUCUUGUUAAGUUUUGCUAGUGUUGUGGAUGAAUUGGAAAGUGUCUCUGAAAAAGUUUGUGUGAAAUUAGAGUUACUUAUUCUUAAAUGCUUAAUUGUAUAACUGAAGAAACCAUCUGGGCUUGGAAUUUUCUUUGUGGGAAUAUUUUGUUUGUUUGUUUUUGAGAAAGAGUCUCACUCUGUCACCCAGGCUGGAGUGCAGUGUCGUGAUCUCGGCUCACUGCAACCUCUGUCUCCCAGAUUCAAGCAAUUUUCAUGCCUCAGCCUCCUAAGUAGCUGGGAUUACAGGCAUGCGCCAUCAUGCCCAGCUAAUUUUUGUAUUUUUAGUAGACACGGGCUUCACCAUGUUGCCCAGAUUGGUCUCGAAUUCUUGACCUCAAGUGAUCCACCCACCUCAGUCUCCCAAAGUGCUAGGAUUACAGGUGUGAGCCACCGUGCUUGGCCAAUAUUUUGUUCUUGAUAGAGUAUCCUUUGUUCUUAGAGGAUUAUUCAUGUUUUCUGGUUUUUCUUGUUG
rnacentral:lncRNA from 1 species